UAUUUUGGCAGAUUAGUGUAUUUGAUUUAGAAUCAUUUUAAGUAAAAUUUUAUUACAAGUAAUAU
rnacentral:tRNA from 18 species